rnacentral:lncRNA from 1 species
AUGUCUGAUGUCCCAAGUCGUCCUGCUGCAAGCUGCGGCUACGUCCUGCGGCGCUUGGCUCCUCCGGGGCUGGAGGGGUUGCUGGAGUUCAUCACCUUCUCCACGGCUCGGCUCCUCUUCCUCUUUUCCCGGCUGAUUCUUUCGACCCGCUGCCCGUCUCACCUGAGCCCCCCCUCUCUACCCGCUCUUUCUCUUUCUCUUUCUCGCGCCCGCUGCCCGACCUCUCCGACAUCUUCACCGAGGAAUUGCUGCCUGACAAAGGGAAAAGGGAAGGGGGAAAUGGGGAAAAAAGGGUGGGAUAUGGGAACACAAAGAACAAAACAGAUUAAAACCACUAUAAAUGAAACAACAACAAAAGAAAAAACUUAUUUGCACCAAAAUUAAUUAUUUCUAUCAUAAUUAAACAGUGGCGUAUAAUUUCUGUGCUAAAUGAAGCCGACAUUAGCUUGUCAAAGUUAGUGGCAGAAUGACCUUUUUGUCCAAACAAUGGAAGACAGAGAAGAAAAAUUGAGCGGAAAAAAGCAUUAACUUUGCAAUUCAGUUUGGUGAUGCUAGUGGCACAGAAACUACACACUUCACCUUUAACUGCACAUCUAUAAUAUUGCCAUUUAUAGUUCACUUUUUUUUCUAAAACGUAUCAUCUUAAUUAGUGCUGAGAGAAAGGUCAAGCACAUUUACAUAACAUGUUUUGACAUGACAGCAUAAUUUGCCGCCUUAUUUUUUCUAAAGCAUCUAAACCUCAAGCGCCAAUAAUGUGCUGACUUCCUAAAAAUACUUUUGCCAUAAUAAAUAACCCACAUCCCUCAAAAAAGCCAUUUUUGUUAUUUCUGCUGUGAUUAUGACAGAGCUGCCUGUUUUUAAACUUUGUUAUUAACAGAAAUAGGGAGGAUAUCACAUGAUUAAUAUAAUACACUCCCAAGAUAUAAAUCAAUGAAACUAUUUAUUUAGUGAAUGCAUAACUUUCAAGAACUGCAUGUUCUUCAGUGAAACAGUAGGUAUUAAGGAAAAAUAAAAUAAAUUCAGUUUCAGAUCACUACUAAUGUUUACUAAUGUUUUUUAACAUUUUAAUUGAGAUAUUUUAAGAAUUGACCCCUCAAAUUAUUCGCUGAGGCCCCCUUGUAGGCCCCGGUCCCCUGGAUGAUCAAGAAAUAAUUCCUGGUAUUGAUAAAGUAUUCUUUUAACCAUUUUACACAUUAAUGAAGCUUAAUAAUAACUCUUCAGUUUUUAUAAAUGUGCUUUUAAACAACUGAAAGCUCACCAUUGUCUAAAGCAAAUAGCUAUGUCAUACACGACCACCAAUUAAAAUGUAACUGUUUAAGCUUUUGUUCACAAGUGGUUCACCAAUAAUCCAAAAUCUAUCCAUUAAGUUACUUCAAGAAGCAGGUACUAGUCUGGCACUCUGUUCCAAACCCCACAUUUUAGCCAAAUAUUAAGACUGCAUUGUGAAAAAAGUAAUCCCAUAAUACACUGCAAAUGAGCAGUGCAAAGUCCUAGAUAGGCAAAGCACUACUUAAUGUUUUUUUAACAUUUUUAAUUGAGAUA